GGGGAAAAGCUCAAAUUUUAAAUCGGCGCAGGUUCACCUGGUCGAGUUGUAAUUUGAAGAAGCGUUUUCCGCGUCCGGGUUCGAUCCAAAUCCUUUGGGAUAAGGUAUCAUGGAGGGUGAGAAUCCCGUCCGGUUGACCUCGGAUGUUUUACGAUGCGUUUUCUAA
rnacentral:rRNA from 1 species